rnacentral:rRNA from 1 species
AACGAACGCUGGCGGCAUGCCUAACACAUGCAAGUCGAACGAGACCUUCGGGUCUAGUGGCGCACGGGUGCGUAACGCGUGGGAACCUGCCCUUAGGUUCGGAAUAACUCAGAGAAAUUUGAGCUAAUACCGGAUAAUGUCUUCGGACCAAAGAUUUAUCGCCUUUGGAUGGGCCCGCGUAGGAUUAGCUUGUUGGUGGGUAA